rnacentral:rRNA from 1 species
GAUGAACGCUGGCGGCGUGCCUAAUACAUGCAAGUCGAGCGAACAGACGAGGAGCUUGCUCAUCUGACGUUAGCGGCGGACGGGUGAGUAACACGUGGAUAACCUACCUAUAAGACUGGGAUAACUUCGGGAAACCGGAGCUAAUACCGGAUAAUAUAUUGAACCGCAUGGUUCAAUAGUGAAAGACGGUUUUGCUGUCACUUAUAGAUGGAUCCGCGCCGCAUUAGCUAGUUGGUAAGGUAACGGCUUACCAAGGCAACGAUGCGUAGCAGACCUGAGAGAGUGAUCGGCCACACGGGACCUGUGACACGGUCCAGACUACUACGGGAGGCAGCAAUAGGGAAUCUUCCGCAAUGGGCGACAGCCUGACGGAGCAACACCGCGUGAGUGAUGAAGGUCUUCGGAUCGUAAAACUCUGUUAUUAGGGAAGAACAAAUGUGUAAGUAACUAUGCACGUCUUAACGGUACCUAAUCAGAAAGCCACGGCUAACUACGUG